rnacentral:rRNA from 1 species
AUGGCAUACAGGGCUAAGAAGGCAGCAAAGAAUGUUGUGUUAGGAGAUCAGAAGGCCCAGUACACCAGGAUUAGGGAUUAUUUGCAGGUUGUGCUAGAUACUAAUCCAGAUCUGGAUGGAUGCUUCAUAAAGCUCACUAUUGGUCAACAGAUCCUUGCUGCUACUGGAAGAGAUGGGAACAAUAAUAUAUUUCUCAUUGCUUUUGGAAUUGUUGAUAAGGAGGACACAGAUUCCUGGACUUGGUUUUUGUAUCAGCUGAAGGUAGCACUAGGUGGCCAAUCUGGGAAGUUUGGCAACUACACAAUAAUUUCUGAUAGGCAGAAGGUGUAG